GACGUAGGGCGCAAGCGUUGUCCGGAUUUAUUGGGCGUAAAGAGCUCGUAGGCGGCUUGUUGCGUCUACCGUGAAAACCCGCGGCUCAACUGCGGGCUUGCGGUCGAUACGGGCAGGCUGGAGUUCGGUAGGGGAGACUGGAAUUCCUGGUGUAGCGGUGAAAUGCGCAGAUAUCAGGAGGAACACCGGUGGCGAAGGCGGGUCUCUGGGCCGAUACUGACGCUGAGGAGCGAAAGCGUGGGGAGCGAACAGG
rnacentral:rRNA from 1 species